UCCAGGGCUAAGCAUGGCCUUCACCCAGGCU
rnacentral:piRNA from 1 species